UACAGAGGGGGCAAGCGUUGUUCGGAAUUACUGGGCGUAAAGGGCGCGUAGGCGGCCUUCUAAGUCGAACGUGAAAUCCCCGGGCUCAACCCGGGAACUGCGUCCGAGACUGGAAGGCUUGAAUCCGGGAGAGGGACGUGGAAUUCCAGGUGUAGCGGUGAAAUGCGUAGAGAUCCGGAGGAAUACCAGUGGCGAAGGCGGCACGCUGGGCCAUAACUGACGCUAAGACUCGAAAGCAUGGGUAGCGAACGGG
rnacentral:rRNA from 1 species